ensembl:lncRNA
CUGAGUGAAACUAGCUGUCCAGAGCCCUGCUAGGUAAGCCUCCAGGGGUCUUGAGCCCUGAAAUAACCCCACUCUUACACCAUUGAUUUCCCUUCUUGCAGCUGUGGAAGGAGGUCCCGGGAGGCCAGAAAACAUGGCCACAAUUCUGUCUAGGUUACAGAGAGAGAGAGAGAGAGAGAGAGAGAGAGAGAGAGAGUCAUGUUUGGAGGCGAACCCCAGGCAAAAUAAAAUGAUCUUUUCAUUUCACACUGAGACGACGGGAUGUCAUCUGCACGGGCAGGUUGAUGCUGCCUGUUGCAACCCCGCUUGGAAUACUCAUCUGAGCAGACUCUGUAGACUAGCAGAGACGGUGCUGAACCCCGGCCCCUCCUGGUCUUGGGAUGCUGGGAACGGCUCGAGGGGCCUGGCACCUCAUGGAGCUGCGGUGUCCCUGGGAGCUGCUGGCACUUCGGGUCUGGCCUCUCCUCCCUGGCUUUCAGGGCUCCGCUCACUGCCCGGUCCUGGGAGAAGUCCCAUCUUGGAACAAGUGGGUGAGGAGAGGCGUGUGUGUGUGUGUGUGUGCGAGACACACACACACACAGAGAGAGAGAGAGAGAGAGAGAGGACCUCCUGCCUGCACUCAUUUGCAAGAGCCUGGCUCUCAAUGGCUCAGCAGUUCCCUAAGACCUGAGACCUCUUGCUCCUUAGAGCUUCCCACUUCACUGAUUUGGAGUUUGUUUGGGCUAUUUUGUAUUCCUCUUUCUUUUUCCACCAAAAACAGCAGGUACACAAGCAGGAGGAGGAGGAAGGGAUGUCCCGUCUCCAGAAGCAAGUCUGUGGGCUGAUGGAGGAGGUGUCCUGUCUCUCGGCUGAGAACCAGAGGCUGAAGCAGCAGUUCCCAAAGGUGGAGCAGCAAGAUGGUGAUCAGGACGAGGGGGCCCGACUCUCGGCUGAGAACCAGAAGCUGAAGGAGCUGGUAGACGUGCUGGCAGAUGUUGUGUCCCAUAACCUGUCUGAGAACAAACAGCUGAAGCUGCAGCGCCCUGAUCGGGAGGAGCCGGUGUCCCGCCUGAAGCAAGAGGGGCCACUCAGGGACAGACCGGGAGCCUCCGGAGCCCUCCAAACAGUUAAAAAAACCCUUUUCGCUUCAGUAGCUUCUCCGUCCCUAGGAAGAACAUCUGGCGAAGACUUUUGUGUCCAGUUCCGUACCUCUGGGAAGACGGAUGGCUGCGAGGAGAAGUUCUUAAAGGAUGUCUCCAAGCACCCGUCCCGCAAAGGAGUCUCUCUAAAAGUGAAGGACUUCAGGAAGACCUCAAAGGACCUCCUUCUGCUCUUCUGCCCCAUAGCUUCCCGCAUGGGCACGGACAUCGAAAACGCCCUCGAGGGACUCAGUGGCAAGCAGAAGAUCCUCCUGGUGGUGAUGCACUUUAUCCCAAAGGACAACCCGGGGCCCUUUGUGGACGCUCAGCACCGGGUGACCCAUCCAGCCGUGGUGCGGACUGUGCACACCCGCUUCACCCUCAAGGAUGGCUUCUACCCAUGCAAGAUGAACGAGAUGGCCGUGGCUGGCGUGGCAGCUGCCCUCAAGGCCCUGGCUGAAGAUCAAUGAGGGGGGACUCGGCUGCUCCCAGUCUCCUUCUUGUGUGAUGUCAUGUUCUGGGAAGAGCUGGGGAGUGGGGGAUGUUCAGACGCUGUUGGGGAUUGCUGCAGUGCAUGCAUGCUGGGACUGGCCUGACUUCGCACAUUGGGGGGUGCGGUGGGGUGAAGGGCUUCCUGUGGGUUCUGUCGCAGUGGUUAAACUGCAGCCCUGCAGCCAAGACUCUGCUAACCACCUGGGCUUAAUCUCAGGUUGCUGGCUCCAGGUGGGCUCAGCCUUCCAUCCUUCCGAGGCCAGUAAAUUGAGUACCCAGCUUGCAGGGGGGGGACGGGCAGGGCAAUGUGUAGCCUGCACCUUUAACUUCUGAAAACUGCCAAAUAGAUGUUGGGGCACUCACCACUCUGGUCCAUGUGCUUGUAGUCUCAAGAUAAAUCUACUGUGACACACUCUAUGUGGGGUUACCUUUGAGAUUGAUGCAGAAGCUUCAAAUGGUGCAGAAUGCGGCAGCGAGACUUCUUACUGGGGUGAGAAAACAUCAGCAUAUCUCCCCCACUCUGGCUGCCUUGCAUUGGCUGCCCGUUCAGUUCUGCAUUGAUUUCAAAGUGUUAAUGAUGGCACAUAAAGCUCUAAAUGAUUUAGGACCUUGAUAUCUAGCGGAACGCCUCCUGCCACCUAGAUCUACCCAAAUCAUUCACUCUAGCCAAGAGGGGUGGCUGAGGGGCCAAACGCUGAGGGAGGCCCAGAGGGAAAGAACAAGAAACGGGGCCUUCUCGGCCCCUUGCCUCUGGAACCGUCUGCCCCCCGAAAUCCCUCGCUGGAUGUUUUUAAGAGCAAACUUACGACCUGGCUCUUUCGCCAGGCUUUUCCUCCUGUUGUCACCUGAUUCUUUUUCCCAUCUUGAACUAUAUUAUUACUGUUAUUUUUAUUUUAUUACAUUGUUUUUACUUUUAUCUAUUAUUGUUAGCCACCCAGAGAAGACUUCGGUCUAGGUGGGCGGGUAUAGCUUCACAAAGAAACAAACAAACAAACAAACAAACAAAUAAAUUCUGUGCUUCUAUGAUCCCA